UUUCAACGGAGAGUUUGAUCCUGGCUCAGGACGAACGCUGGCGGCGUGCUUAACACAUGCAAGUCGAGCGGUAAGGCCCUUCGGGGUACACGAGCGGCGAACGGGUGAGUAACACGUGAGCAACCUACCCUCAACUUUGGGAUAAGCCUCGGAAACGGGGUCUAAUACCGGAUAAUACUGACUGUCUCAUGAUGGUUGGUUGAAAGUUCUGGCGGUUGGGGAUGGGCUCGCGGCCUAUCAGCUUGUUGGUGGGGUAAUGGCCUACCAAGGCGUCGACGGGUAGCCGGCCUG
rnacentral:rRNA from 1 species